GAUGAACGGUGGCGGCGUGCCUAAUACAUGCAAGUCGAGCGAAUGGAUUAAGAGCUUGCUCUUAUGAAGUUAGCGGCGGACGGGUGAGUAACACGUGGGUAACCUGCCCAUAAGACUGGGAUAACUCCGGGAAACCGGGGCUAAUACCGGAUAACAUUUUGAACCGCAUGGUUAGAAAUUGAAAGGCGGCUUCGGCUGUCACUUAUGGAUGGACCCGCGUCGCAUUAGCUAGUUGGUGAGGUAACGGCUCACCAAGGCAACGAUGCGUAGCCGACCUGAGAGGGUGAUCGGCCACAAGGGGACUGAGACACGGGCCAGACUCCUACGGGAGGCAGCAGUAGGGAAUCUGCCGCAAUGGACGAAAGUCUGACGGAGCAACGCCGCGUGAGUGAUGAAGGCUUUCGGGUCGUAAAACUCUGUUGUUAGGGAAGAACAAGUGCUAGUUGAAUAAGCUGGCACCUUGACGGUACCUAACCAGAAAGCCACGGCUAACUACGUGCCAGCCGCCGCAGUAA
rnacentral:rRNA from 1 species